AUAGAACGCUGGCGGCAUGCUUUACACAUGCAAGUCGAACGGGCUUAGGGGCUUGCUCCUAAGUUAGUGGCGAACGGGUGAGUAAUGCAUCGGAACGUACCGUGUAGUGGGGGAUAACCCGGCGAAAGUCGGAUUAAUACCGCAUACGAUCUAAGGAUGAAAGCAGGGGAUCGCAAGACCCUGCGCUAUACGAGCGGCCGAUGUCGGAUUAGCUAGUUGGUAGGGUAAAGGCCUACCAAGGCAACGAUCCGUAGCGGGUCUGAGAGGAUGAUGGGCCACACUGGGACUGAGACACGGCCCAGAUUCCUACGGGAGGCAGCAGUGGGGAAUUUUGGACAAUGGGCGAAAGCCUGAUCCGGCCAUGCCGCGUGAGUGAAGAAGGCCUUCGGGUUGUAAAGCUCUUUUGUCCGGGAGCAAAUCCUGUUCACUAAUACUGCGCGGGGCUGAGAGUACCGGAAGAAUAAGCACCGGCUAACUACGUGCCAGCAGCCGCUGUAAAAC
rnacentral:rRNA from 1 species